GAUGAACGCUGGCGGCGUGCCUAAUACAUGCGAGUCGAGCGAACGGACGAGAAGCUUGCUUCUCUGAUGUUAGCGGCGGACGGGUGAGUAACACGUGGAUAACCUACCUAUAAGACUGGGAUAACUUCGGGAAACCGGAUCUAAUACCGGAUGAUAUUUUGAACCGCAUGGUUCAAAAGUGAAAGACGGUCUUGCUGUCACUUAUAGAUGGAUCCGCGCUGCAUUAGCUAGUUGGUAAGGUAACGGCUUACCAAGGCAACGAUGCAUAGCCGACCUGAGAGGGUGAUCGGCCACACUGGAACUGAGACACGGUCCAGACUCCUACGGGAGGCAGCAGUAGGGAAUCUUCCGCAAUGGGCGAAAGCCUGACGGAGCAACGCCGCGUGAGUGAUGAAGGUCUUCGGAUCGUAAAACUCUGUUAUUAGGGAAGAACAUAUGUGUAAGUAACUGUGCACAUCUUGACGGUACCUAAUCAGAAAGCCACGGCUAACUACGUG
rnacentral:rRNA from 1 species